ACACCUUCCCCUCCCUCUCCCUUGGUUUUUAAGUGUGUUUCAGUCAUGUAUUGCUUUCUUCUGCAGUUUGUGCCAUCAUCUCCUAUCCGUAUUCCUAGCAGCCGUCUUCAUCAAAUCAAACAGGAAGAAGGAAUGAACUUGAUGAACAGAGAAACAGUACAUGAAAGAGAAGUGCAAGUAGCAAUGCAGAUGAGCCAGUCAUGGGAGGAGAGCUUGAGCCUGGUAAUGCGUUUGUGCUUUAAUUUGUAUUCCUGUUAUCAGUAUCAGGACACUAGAGAAACUUGCAUCAACUUUUUUUUUGUAUAGUUUAAGCACAAUGAAGGUGGUUAAUGUAUCACUGCUUUUGACCAGCAGUUUUUCACGCUAGUAAGGCACACAGUUGUCAGUUGCUCAGGGAUACCUGUGGGUUCCUUGGGCUGGAAUGUCAAAAGAAAACUGCAUGGAUGUCUGCAUGUCCAAAUUUUCUUCCGUGUUCUAAUACUUAACAAGUAAUGCUUAAGGCUUGUUUUAUAAAUAGUUGCCUAAGGGAAAAAAAAAUCACGAGGAUGAAGGCUGAUAACUUUUGAAUCAUGCUCAGUUCUACAUGAAGCAGCCCUUCUCAUGUGAAGAUACUUGCUCACGACGUUAACUGUAUGCACUGUUUACAGAGUAACAAUGAUUUUGAAAAAUCAUCAUCACCAAAGCAAGUAGACUUUGUCCCAGUCUCUCCAGCUCCUUCACCUACCAGAGGAAUAGGGAAGGUGAGCAAAACGUGGUAAUAAAAGUUUUGUCCUGAGCAGUGCUAACUAAAUUCAAUCCAAUUAGUAGCAAAAGAGCCACCUGCUCCUUUCUACAUCAGCUGCAAACCAAAAACUAGAGCAAACCGAAAAACCCAACCCUCCUAAAACUCCAAAACUGAAACUCCCAGCUAGCAGC
rnacentral:lncRNA from 1 species